GCGCUCGUGGCGGACUUUCGGCAGACGCGCCCGGUUCAAAACCGGGUGCCCAUCCGGGCAUGCAGGUUCAAAUCCUGCCGAGCGCA
rnacentral:tRNA from 1 species